ensembl:misc_RNA Y_RNA Y RNA
CGUUGGUCCAAGUGCAGUGGUGUUUACAACUAAUAGAUCACAACCAGUUACAGAUUCCUUUGUUCCUUCUCCACUCCCACUGCUCCAAUUGACCAACCUUAA